rnacentral:misc_RNA from 1 species
UGAUAUCGUUAUACAUGGCAUCGAGCAGCCAUACUUGGCUUUUAUAUAGGAUAUAACUCAAUCCAUCUCUGUUGGUCAGAAAUAUGGUGUAAAUACAUCGCAAGAGAGUCUCACUAUGAAGUUCAAAUAAAUAUUGUAUGAGUAUAAGAUGUGUAGUUUUGAAAGUUUUGUUGAAGGUGUUAUGUUUUAUUAGUUAGUCAUUCAGUGAUACCAGCCAGGUAUAUAAGAAUGUGUAACUAUGAUUAUGUACAUAUUAAAUAUUUCAUUUAUUAUAUGCAGAAUUAGUUGAAAUAGUUUACAAGUUGUCAUUGUCUUGCUCUGUUUAUAAGAAAGCUUGCAAUUUAUUCUGAUGAACAGACUUUUUUCUUGCCCUUUAACAAUAGUAUCAGUAAAUUGAUAUUUAUAUAGAAUUGGCAUAGAUCUAUCAAAGUUUACGCUAUUGUUAUUGUGCAGGUCAAUAGUGAUGGUAUAGCCUGGUACAGCAUGUUUCAGAGUAUGUGGUCAUUAUAACUUGACCUGUUGAUAUGUGGUGCGAUAUGCAGAAAUAUUACCUGAAAUGACUUCAUUUACUGUUUAUCAUUCAUGUCAUAAUAUUAUGUGUUAGGUCACUGAAGUAAAAGCUGGAGAGUUUU